rnacentral:rRNA from 1 species
UACAGAGGUCCCAAGCGUUGUUCGGAUUCACUGGGCGUAAAGGGUGCGUAGGUGGUGAGGUAAGUCGGAAUGUGAAAUCUCCGGGCUCAACCCGGAAAUGGCAUUGGAAACUACCUUGCUGGAGGGUUUGAGGGGGGGAUGGGAAUACUUGGUGUAGCAGUGGAAAUGCGUAGAUAUCAAGUGGAACACCAGUGGCGAAGGCGAAUCCCUGGAAAAUACCUGGACACUGAGGCACGAAAGCUAGGGAGCAAACAGG